rnacentral:lncRNA from 1 species
UCCAAGAGCCUAAGACGUCUGGCUGUUACAGUGUGGUCCACUGGUGCAUUUUGUUCGAACUGCCUCAGGGAGUUUAGAGUUUCUCAGUGAUUAAUAUACACACAUAUUUGCACAGUUUAUAAAGUUGUGGCCUUUGCCAAAAAUAAGUAAAAUCUCACCACUGGAUUUCUUUCCUCCUUAACUUUUCUAGCAUGGUUAGGCGCGGUCACGCCAGCCUUCUGUAUAAGGUAGCCUGUUUCAGAUCUUGGCUGCUGUAUAAGGAACAGUGCUAGGCAUGGUGACCAGAGCCUUUUCAUUAACUGUUGGUUCUGAAAUCUGGCAAGUUUGAGAAGGGCAGAGCAGGGUGGGUGUCAAUCUCCGGGUCUGAGACAGUCAGCCUGGGGAUGUGUGUCUGGGCUCUCAGUGGGCCUGUCACCUGGGUUCUAAUUGUUUUAUGGAGCCCACACGUGGCUACCAGCCGGUGCCUCUGAGUCUAAAAGGCGCUGUUCCAAGAACACAAAGUCCCAGAACGCAAACAACUGCCCAGCCUUUGCAUGUGUCACAGUAGCUAAUGUCUCAGCAAAGCAAGUCACACAGUAGGGGACGGGACUUUAGCUAUGAUUCCUGAGAGGCCUCCAAAGCAAUUAUCCACUGAACUUGAAGUCACAUCUGGGAAACACCUGGGACCUAAGCCUCCAGUCUGUGCCGAGCAAGACCAACCCCCCCCCCCAACACACACACACACACACACACCCCAAUAAACCCUACUGUGCUCAGCAAAACCAAGCCCCCACACACCCAAACACCCACACAAUAAACUCUGCAAAAUCCUUUUCUUUUAAAGGGAAAACUACAAUAAUUAUGACCUGAACAGAAACUUUCCUGAUGCCUUUGAGAAUAACAAUGUAACAAAGCAACCUGAGACUCUGGCAAUCAUGGAGUGGCUGAAAACGGAAACAUUUGUCCUCUCUGCGAAUCUCCAUGGGGGUGCCCUGGUGGCCAGUUACCCCUUUGAUAAUGGCGUACAAGGUAAGUGAUGUCCAUCCCCCACAGCCAUCCCCCCCCCCAUAGGCCUGAGCUAUAAGCACUGCACCUGUGAACUUUGUGGUCCACACUCUUAACUUCUCUCACUGGACUAGAAAAAGCCUAAUUUCCCCAACCAUGCACAAUCUUUCUUGUGAUUGGGUUUUUUUUUUUGGGGGGGGGGGCGAGAAAAAGGAUAAUAACGAAUCUCGUGCAUGCCAGGGGGCCCUGAAACAGACAGUGUAGCUGAGAGUGCUCUUGAACUUCUGAACCUCUGGUCCUCACAGGCACGCACCAUCGGGCAGCUUAUGAAUACUGAGAAUCAAACCCAGGGCUUUGUGCGUCCUAGGCAGGCCCUGUGCAACCUAAGUUAUAUGGCCAGCUCUUCCUGGAAUUCUUAACCAGUGGAUGGGAAAUGUGGUUGGCCACCAUCGGGGAAAUCCUACAGCCAGGUGCAGUUUGUAUCACAGACUUAGGUUAUAUGGCUAGAAGAAAAUAAAACCAGAAUGGUGUAUCUUUUUACAAUUUUUUUUUUUUGUAAUCAUGUGAACAUUGUUGACUGUUUCUAGCUCUUCUCAAUCUGUGAGUCACACACCACCCCUUUGCGGGGUGGGAAAUGACCUUUUCACAGGGGUCCCCUAAGACCAUCUGCAUAUCAGAUAUUUACCUUACGAUUCAUAACAGUAGCAAAAUUACAGUUAUGAAGUAGCAAUGAAAAUAAUUUUAUGGUUGUGGGGUCGCCACCCACGUGAGGAACUGUGUUAAAGGGUCACAGCUUUAGGAAGGUUGAGAACCGCUGCUUUAGACUCUGUAGCCAGCACUUAGGAGGUGGAGACCAGCCUGUGUACAUAGUGAGUUUCAGGACAGCAGGGACUACUUAGAGAGACUGUGUCUCAAG